rnacentral:rRNA from 1 species
GACGAACGCUGGCGGCGUGCUUAACACAUGCAAGUCGAACGGUGAAGCGCCUUCCUUUUUGGUGGGUGUGGAUGAGUGGCGAACGGGUGAGUAACACGUGAGUAACCUGCCCCCUUCUUCUGGAUAACCGCAUGAAAGUGUGGCUAAUACGGGAUAUUCUGGGUCUGUCGCAUGAUGGGUCUGGGAAAGAUAUUGUUUCGGUGGGGGAUGGGCUCGCGGCCUAUCAGCUUGUUGGGGGGGUGAUGGCCUACCAAGGCGGUGACGGGUAGCCGGCCUGAGAGGGUGGACGGUCACACUGGGACUGAGACACGGCCCAGACUCCUACGGGAGGCAGCAGGGGGGAAUAGUGCACAAUGGGCGCAAGCCUGAUGCAGCGACGCCGCGUGAGGGAUGGAGGCCUUCGGGUUGUGAACCUCUUUCGCCAGUGAAGCAGGCCUGCCUCGUUUGUGGGUGGGUUGACGGUAGCUGGAUAAGAAGCGCCGGCUAACUACGUG